GUGUCAGCAGCCGCGGUACUACGUAGGGGCCAAGCGUUGUCCGGAGUUACUGGGCGUAAAGGGUGCGCAGGCGGUGGGUUACGUCGUGUGUGAAAGCCCCCGGCUUAACCGGGGAGGGUCGCGCGAAACGGUCUCACUGGAGGCAAGGCGAGGUCGGUGGAAUUCCCGGUGUAGUGGUGAAAUGCGUAGAGAUCGGGAGGAACACCAGAGGCGAAGGCGGCCGACUGGACUUGACCUGACGCUGAGGCACGAAGGCGUGGGGAGCGAACGGGAUUAGAUACCCCGGUAGUCCACGCAGUAAACGAUGGAUACUAGGUGUAGCGGGUAUUGACCCCUGCUGUGCCGAAGCUAACGCGUUAAGUGCCCCGCCUGGGGACUACGGCCGCAAGGCUAAAACUCAAAGGAAUUGGCGGGG
rnacentral:rRNA from 1 species